rnacentral:rRNA from 1 species
UGGUGGAGUGAUUUGUCUGGUUAAUUCCGUUAACGAACGAGACCGCUGCCUGCUAAAUAGUUGGAUGAGUGUUUUGACACUGAUUGCAGCUUCUUAGAGGGACAUGGAUUAUUAAAAUCCAGGAAGAUAGCGGCAAUAAC